AAAUGUUGAGUUUGGAGUUCUUUAAUCUAGGUACGUGUUUUGCAAACAUUUUCUCCUAGUCUAUAGCUUCUUUUCAUCCUUCUAACACAGUUCUUCAUAGAACAAACAUUUUAAAUUUGGAUGAAGUCCAAUUUAUUGACUUUUUUUCUUUUAUAGAUCAUGCUGUUGAUAUCAUGUUUAGGAACUCUUCAACAGUCCAUAGGUAUUGAAGAUUUUCUGAUGAUUCUUUGUAAACAUCCUUGAAUUUUCUGAUAUAUAGUCUCCAAACAACUGGAAGUUCGAAAUCACUGCCAAAACCACAUUCUGAUCCAAGAACAUCUGAGUGCUUUAAUAACCUAAAUCAGAAGCCUGCAACCUCUUCCUGCAACACGCCACAUGGUUCCACUCAUACUUUUCAGCACUCCUCAGCAGGUUGCUUCCAAGAAUUGAUCAAAGGAUGAAGUAUCCACCCUGUGCAGGCUGCAAUGGGAGUUUCUCCUGCAGACGUUGAAGGCAUAAGCUGCCAUGUUGUGACAAGCCUGUGAGAUGCCACAUGGGAAGAAGCUGUGGGUGAUUCCUAGGACAUGAGAGUGACCCAGGUGACUUCCAGAAAUAAAGUGGGGACCUCAGUCCUACAAUCUCAGCUGGAUUCUGCCAACAACUGCAUGAGCUUAGAAGAAAAAACUCAAGCUCCAGACAAGAACACAGCACAGUCAAGAUCUUGAUGACACCUUUCCAAGACCAUAAGCAGAGGCCCAAGCUGUACUCAGACUCCUGACCCAAGAAGAUGGAACACAAUACUCAUUGUUUUAAGUCACUAUAUUUGUGGCAAUUUGUUAUGUAGCAAUACAUAACUAACACAUGUCAUAAUCCACUUUGAACUCAAAUAACAGCCAUUCUUGAAAAAAAGCUCUGAUUUGCCAAUUAUUAUUUUCUUUUGGCUGUUGAGGAUAACAGAAAUCUAGCAGAAUGCUUUAUACAUGUGUAUACCUUUAUCCAAUUCAAAACUUGAAUGCAGAAAAUCAUUCUCCAUGAGUGAGUCUUGAAACACAAAUGAAUCAGACUCAACAUUUUUCAAAAUAUCAAAAUUCUUUUAUUUUGUUACUUAAAAAUUGGAAGGUAUACCUCCAAACCAGUUUUUUUGUUUGUUUUCAUUUUUGUUGUUUUUGGUUUUGGUGUGUCUACUUAACUGUUUUGUUUUGCUUGUUUUGGGACAGAGUUUCGCUCUUGUUGCCCAGGCUGGAGUGCAAGGGCACAAUCUCGGCUCACCACAACCUCCGCCUCCUGGAUUCAAGCAACUCUCCUGCCUUAGCCUCCUGAGUAGCUGGGAUUACAGGCAUGCACCACCACGCCCAGCUAAUUUUGUAUUUUUAGUAGAGAUGGGGCUUCUCCAUGUUGGCCAGGCUGGUCUCAAACUCCCAACCUCACGUGAUCUGCCUGCCUUGGCCUCCCAAAGUGCUAGGAUUACAGGAGUGAGACACUGCGCCUGGCCUACUUAACUGUUUUUCAAAUAAAUGGUUUAUUUUCAAAGUUUUAGAUUUACAGGAUUAUAAAGAUAAUACAGAAAGUUCUUGUAUACCCCAUACCCAGUUUUCCCAAAUAUUAACAUCUUACAUUAGCAUGGUACAUUUAUCACAUUUGAUGAACCAAU
rnacentral:lncRNA from 1 species